CAAUAUAACUAAAUACCCUUAAAGUACAAGAUCCUAUUUAAUAUUGGAAGCUAAGCAGGGUAAGCCUGGUUAGUACUUGGAUGGGAGACCGCCUAUGAAUCCUAGGUGCUGUGGACU
rnacentral:rRNA from 1 species